GACGUAGGGCGCGAGCGUUGUCCGGAUUUAUUGGGCGUAAAGCGCUCGCAGGUGGUUCGUUGCGUCGUGCGUGAAAGACCCCGGCUCAACUGGGGAGGGUCGUGCGAUACGGGCGAACUGGAGGCCAGUAGGGGGAUGCGGAAUUCCGGGUGUAGUGGUGGAAUGCGUAGAGAUCCGGAGGAACACCAGCGGCGAAGGCGGCAUCCUGGACUGGUCCUGACACUCAUGAGCGAAAGCGUGGGGAGCGAUCCGG
rnacentral:rRNA from 1 species